CUUUCAGCGAGGAAGCUUGUUUAAUGGACGAUUGGCAAGCUUGCGAAGAUUGGGUUGACGAUCACGGAAAACCUAAUCUCGUGUUCAACUCUAAUCAAUUUGGAAAAUCACAAGUCCAGUUGGCAGGGCAGCACCCAAUCUGAUGAUCUCUGGUUUUGUCAUUUUAUUAUGGCCAUCUGAUCUUGGUGCUGCUAAUGAACUUCUUGGUGCCAACCAACUGCUGUCUCCACAAGCUCAUGUCACACCAGUUCAAUUUGCUGCUCUUUGUCUCUUGGGCCUAAGGCAAGCUAAGCAACUGACAUUUUUCAUGCAUUUUUAGAUUUUGAUGUAAAGUGUAAACACAAAAUUACUGAUAGCAUACACAGUUGGUUCAACGAGAACACUAAAUUUGUAAGAAUGAUUAUUUUUAUUGUGACGAAGCCCACGAAGGUCAUAUCUUAUGUAAGCAGGGCAAUGCCUUGUAGUACAAGAGUGAUUGUAAAUGUUCAUUGCAAGGGUAUUAUUAUUCAGAGUAUUUGUAAAGCUACUAUGCAAAUUAAUCAGCUUUUUAUGGAAUAUAAUCCCUGUUUUUUGCUGGAAA